UAUUCUGGCCGUAGGGUACAGAGGUUAAGAUGUUCUAUCUUUCAGACCUUUAUUUCACUUUUAAGUGAUGCCAAAUUCUGGCGCCCCGGCAAGCAAUUGCCGGGGCUAUUUUUU
rnacentral:other from 1 species